rnacentral:snRNA from 1 species
CUUUCCCUCUCUCUCUCUUCC